rnacentral:rRNA from 1 species
AUUGAACGCUGGCGGCAUGCCUUACACAUGCAAGUCGAACGGCAGCGGGCCUUCGGGUGCCGGCGAGUGGCGAACGGGUGAGUAAUGCAUCGGAACGUGCCAUUGAGUGGGGGAUAACGUAGCGAAAGUUACGCUAAUACCGCAUAUUCUGUGAGCAGGAAAGCAGGGGACCGCAAGGCCUUGCGCUCUUUGAGCGGCCGAUGUCAGAUUAGCUAGUUGGUGAGGUAAAGGCUUACCAAGGCGACGAUCUGUAGCGGGUCUGAGAGGAUGAUCCGCCACACUGGAACUGAGACACGGUCCAGACUCCUACGGGAGGCAGCAGUGGGGAAUUUUGGACAAUGGGCGCAAGCCUGAUCCAGCCAUGCCGCGUGAGUGAAGAAGGCCUC